UACGGGGGGGGGCAAGCGUUGUUCGGAAUUACUGGGCGUAAAGGGCGCGUAGGCGGUGCUCUAAGUUAGAUGUGAAAACUCUGGGCUCAACCCAGAGCCUGCAUCUAAAACUGGAGUGCUAGAGUUCUGGAGGGGGUAGCGGAAUUCCUGGUGUAGCGGUGAAAUGCGUAGAUAUCAGGAGGAACACCGAUGGCGAAGGCAGUUCUCUGGGCCGUAACUGACGCUGAGGAGCGAAAGCGUGGGGAGCGAACAGG
rnacentral:rRNA from 1 species